UGGGGAAUAUUGCACAAUGGGGGAAACCCUGAUGCAGCAACGCCGCGUGAGUGAAGAAGUCAUUCGUGAUGUAAAGCUCUAUCAGCAGGGAAGAAAAUGACGGUACCUGACUAAGAAGCCCCGGCUAACUACGUGCCAGCAGCCGCGGUAAUACGUAGGGGGCAAGCGUUAUCCGGAUUUACUGGGUGUAAAGGGAGCGUAGACGGCGACGCAAGUCUGAAGUGAAAUGCCAGUGCUCAACACUGGAACUGCUUUGGAAACUGUGUGGCUAGAGUGCAGGAGAGGUAAGUGGAAUUCCUAGUG
rnacentral:rRNA from 1 species